UCCCCCACACCAGCCCCCAACACCCUCUAGCUGCAUUAGGCAGAUGGCAGGAGAAUUAAGCUUGCUGCCAGAGACCACAAGGCCUGCAGGGGCAGGAGAAGCAGUGAGCAGAUUAAGCCCUGGAUCCUCUGCCCCCUAAAAGCCCCUGACCCAUUUCUCUGUCGGGAAAGGAAACUGCUGUGAGGGACACCCAAUGGGAACAGUGAAGAGAUGGCCUGCCCCAUCCUGUGCUAAGGGACCCAGGCUCGUUCUAAGACGCCGCAAGGUGGGCUCCUUUCCUUUGCGGCCCCUCGGCCGUCCGGGGUCUUGGAACUGGUGUUUGGGGUCUUCCUUUUUAACCGACAGGGACAUCAGGGGAUACAUGUGCAUUAACAGAGAGCCACGCGGUUAAGGUGUCAACCACAGGUGCUUUUCCUACGACACAUAAAAUUCCACCAUCCUCUCCGCCGUCCCGCCCCCGCCUCCACCGCAGGUUUCUCAGGUUUCAACAGCACGGACUCCAGUCCAAUGCAGUGCCGCCACAUCAGAGACAACAGGUGUUUCAGAAAAAGGGACCGGGGGCUAUCUCGAGACCUCGCACAUGGGCACAAGGGGCGGUGGGUAGUGAAUGGACUUUGGCCAAAGGAUGGGCCGGGAAGAACGAAGAGUCACCUCCUGGGAAGAGAGGAGAGUUCCGAGCACCAGCGGAGUCUUGCAAAGUGAAGGUCUGGGCUGUCCCGGCCCAGUUGGGCCAGAAACUAAGCUUCCUAAAGACCACGCAGGCAGGAACUCGGGGGCCUGCCCCAUCCUGUGCUAAGGGACCCAGGCUUGUUCUAAGACGCCGCAAGGUGGGCUCCUUUCCUUUGCGGCCCCUCGGCCGUCCGGGGUCUUGGAACUGGUGUUUGGGGUCUUCCUUUUUAACCGACCAACAGAGGCAGGCUAAGUGCCAGGACCAGCUUCCACCGGCCAGAGGUGCUUCCCGGCCCGCUGGGCAAGGACGCGGGGGCUCGGGCAGGGUCUGAGGGAGACCUGGGAUGGGCGGGGACGGUAAGGACAGCAGGUGACAAGUCGCGCCCCAAGCGAAGCUCUCGGCUCCGGGGUCGUUAGCGACCCAGGUUCCCCCAGAGUCCAGCUGGUCUCCUGCGGCACUUACGCGCUCUUGGGUCCACCGCCGGGCAGAAUCGAAACUUUCUGGGGCCAAGCGGAAGCGGACGGGACCGCGGUGCCGACGGCCAUGACGCGCACACCCGGCGGUUGGCGGGUGCGGACUACAACUCCCGGCGUGCUCCCCGGGGCUGAGGCCUACAACUCCCAUGUGACUCUGCAGGGCAGGGGAGAACGAUUCCCACAGCCCAGUCCCUAGACUGCCUGUCUCACCCGGACCCUAGCAGGCCCCAGGUUAACCCUUGCAAUUCCGGAGGGCCACAAAUCAAAUGUCUGGCAGACGCCUGACAGCAACGCUGUUCUUGGGUGGCUAAGGAGCAUUCCAAAGGUGGCUAGUUCGAACUGGACUGUGCACAUGCUCUAAGUGUGAAAUACACCUGCGUGCUAAAUAAUCCAAAGAAAGAAUGUAAACUAGCUCAUUAAUUUUUGGUGAUUGCAUGUUAAAAUGAUAAUAUUUUGAUGUACUGGAAAAUAGAAAAACAUAUUGGCGGGCCUUAUUUCCCAUAUUUUAAUCCCCCUUACUUCUUAAUAUCAGGGGCUUACUUAAAAUUAGUUCUCAAAAACUGUGUGUUUAUGAACUACCACUCCUAACUUUGGCCCCAUCCCCAGCCCAACUUCUGUUUAUAAGUUGGGUGUUGCAAAGCACUGAAACGGAAUACGAUAGAACAAAACACAUUCAAUUAAUGUCUGCUAUGGGGCCAGUAGAAAAAAUAAAUGGUACAUGGGGACUUUG